AAAUGCGCAGAUAUCAGGAGGAACACCGAUGGCGAAGGCAGGUCUCUGGGCUGUAACUGACGCUGAGGAGCGAAAGCAUGGGGAGCGAACAGGAUUAGAUACCCUGGUAGUCCAUGCCGUAAACGUUGGGCACUAGGUGUGGGGGACAUUCCACGUUUUCCGCGCCGUAGCUAACGCAUUAAGUGCCCCGCCUGGGGAGUACGGCCGCAAGGCUAAAACUCAAAGGAAUUGACGGGGGCCCGCACAAGCGGCGGAGCAUGCGGAUUAAUUCGAUGCAACGCGAAGAACCUUACCAAGGCUUGACAUGGACCGGAAAGACCUGGAAACAGGUGCCCCGCUUGCGGCCGGUUUACAGGUGGUGCAUGGUUGUCGUCAGCUCGUGUCGUGAGAUGUUGGGUUAAGUCCCGCAACGAGCGCAACCCUCGUUCUAUGUUGCCAGCGGUUCGGCCGGGGACUCAUAGGAGACUGCCGGGGUCAACUCGGAGGAAGGUGGGGACGACGUCAAAUCAUCAUGCCCCUUAUGUCUUGGGCUUCACGCAUGCUACAAUGGCCGGUACAAAGGGUUGCGAUACUGUGAGGUGGAGCUAAUCCCAAAAAGCCGGUCUCAGUUCGGAUUGGGGUCUGCAACUCGACCCCAUGAAGUCGGAGUCGCUAGUAAUCGCAGAUCAGCAACGCUGCGGUGAAUACGUUCCCGGGCCUUGUACACACCGCCCGUCAAGUCACGAAAGUUGGUAACACCCGAAGCCGGUGGCCUAACCC
rnacentral:rRNA from 1 species